AUGUGCUUCGGCGAGGAUAUGGACAUAUAACCAGAGAAAAGAAGAAGAGGAAGAAUGAGGAAGAAGAAGAAGAAGAAGGGUUUGGAAGAGACGUCAAUGAAGGGAAGAGAAAAAAUCCUGGACGGAUAAAGAAUUUUUUUCCCCCUCCUCCUUCCUCUUUUCCAUUUUUCUCCUCUUCGUGAUCUUUUCAUCUGUUAGUGGAUGUUCAGAAACAAAAAGAGAACAGAAACUAAACAACUAGGAGUGAGCAUGAGACCGAGGUCAAGCUCACGGCUCCUGACAACCGUUCACUUUGUCCGAAGAGACAGACACCGAAAAGCCACUGGAAAUGUCAGCUUUGAAAUCCUCCCAGGAUGCCAUGAACGCAAUCACCCAGAUGAAUGGCAGGGAGUGAGGCAGGAAGCAGGUGUACGUGGGACUGACUCAGGCUUACCUGCAGCAGAUGUUCACACAGAAACUGCACCAACCAGUGCUGCCCCAAGGAGAAGACCCCAGCUGUCCAGACACCUCCAUCAGAGGACGGUGUCCAAAUUGUUGAGGCAGUGGCAGAGGACACCACUGUCAGGACGGCUGCCUCAGAAAGCAGUGUCCAAAUAGUCGAGGCAGCUGCCUCCACCACUGAGACGGCUGCCUAAGAGGACACCACUGUUGAGAUGGCUACCUCAGAGGACACCACCGUCGAGACAGCUGCCUCAGAGGACACCACCGUCGAGACAGUUGCUUCAGAGGAAACCACCAUCGAGACGGCUGCCUCAGAGAACACCAGUGGCAAGACAGCUGCUUCAGAGGACUACACCGUCGAGACAGCUGCCUCAAAGGACACCAGUGUCAAGACAGCUGUCUCAGAGGACACCACUGUCGAGACAGCUGCCUUAGAAGACAUUGUUGAAACUGUCGAGACAGCUGUCUCUGAGGACACUUUAGACAGCGCACCAGCUACACUUGAGGACGUAGGUGCAACUAAAGCCACAGAUGCCUUCUACAUCUGUGGCAUCUGUACCCAAAUCUCCACCCACCAAAAAGAGGCUGACCAUUUACAUGCUGGAGUCUGUGUUGGUAGAUGACCAGGUCCAGAUGGCCUAUGACUACAUGCUCCCACUGGUUGAGGAAAUCCAACCUACUCAAGCCAACAAAAUAUCUUGUAUGAUAAUAAUGGAUGAGAUCCUGACCACUUGCGCGCACACACACACACACUUAAGUAAUACACACUUGAGUAACAUAGAGAGUGUUUCAUAACUGAUUUGUAAAUAUCUCUGACAUUAUCAAUUAACUUUGGUUAUUUCACAUCACAGUGUA